UCGAAAAUCUGUUUAUCAGUGCAGUCUGAGUCUACGAGAAUGAAACAAAACUUUCAACAACGGAUCUCUUGGUUCUGGCAUCGAUGAAGAACGCAGCGAAAUGCGAUAAGUAAUGUGAAUUGCAGAAUUCAGUGAAUCAUCGAAUCUUUGAACGCACAUUGCGCCCUCUGGUAUUCCGGGGGGCAUGCCUGUUCGGAGCGUCAUUA
rnacentral:rRNA from 1 species